rnacentral:rRNA from 1 species
AUUGAACGCUGGCGGCAGGCCUAACACAUGCAAGUCGAGCGGAGCGGCGGACGGGAGAGAAAUGCCUAGGAAUCUGCCUGGUAGUGGGGGAUACCGUCCGGAAACGGGCGCUAAUCCCGCAAUCGAUCAGAUGAGCCUAGGUCGGAUUGGCUAUUUGGUGGGGCAAAGGACUAACAAGGCGAAGAUCCGGAACUGGUCUGAGAGGAUGAUCAGACACCUUGGAACGGAGCCACGGACAAGAGUCCUACGGGAGGCAGCAGUGGGGAAUAUUGGACAAUGGGCGAAAGCCUAAUCCAUCCAUGCCGCGUGUGUGAAAAAGGUCUUCAGAUUGUAAAGCACUUUAAGUAGGGAGGCGUUACCAACAGAAUAAGCACCGGCUAACUUCGUGCCAGCAGCCGCGGUAAUUC